UCCGGAACCGGGACGUGGCGGUUGACGGC
rnacentral:snRNA from 1 species